rnacentral:lncRNA from 1 species
AAAUAUUGAAUUAUGCUUGAGAGAAAAUUUUGGAGGGAGAGAGAAUUUGGAUCUAGAAAUGGUGAAAAUGAUUAACCUCCUUGAAAUUCUGUUAGGUUUUAGUAUUUAUAUGCUCUCUUAAUCAUAUUGCUAAUCCACACUUAAUUGAAAUUAGGCAAAAUAAGGUGUUUGGCAAAAUUUCAAAAAUGCAUGGUGCAUGUAGUAAACCCACGUGAACAGUGUCAUGUGCUUGAUCAGAG